GACGAACGCUGGCGGCGUGCUUAACACAUGCAAGUCGAACGAUGAAGCCAGAGCUUGCUCUGGUGAAUUAGUGGCGAACGGGUGAGUAACACGUGAGUAACCUGCCCUUGACUCUGGGAUAACUGCUAGAAAUGGUAGCUAAUACCGGAUACGACCCUCGGAGGCAUCUCCAGGGGGUGGAAAGAAUUUCGGUCAAGGAUGGACUCGCGGCCUAGCAGCUAGUUGGUGAGGUAACGGCUCACCAAGGCGACGACGGGUAGCCGGCCUGAGAGGGUGACCGGCCACACUGGGACUGAGACACGGCCCAGACUCCUACGGGAGGCAGCAGUGGGGAAUAUUGCACAAUGGGCGCAAGCCUGAUGCAGCAACGCCGCGUGAGGGAUGACGGCCUUCGGGCUGUAAACCUCUUUUAGUAGGGAAGAAGCGAAAGUGACGGUACCUGCAGAAAAAGCACCGGCUAACUACGUGCCAGCCGCCGCUGUAA
rnacentral:rRNA from 1 species